rnacentral:rRNA from 1 species
UACGUGGGGAGCGAGCGUUGUUCGGAAUUACUGGGCGUAAAGCGCGUGUAGGCGGCCUAUUAUGUCAGGUGUGAAAGCCCUCGGCCUAACCGAGGAAGUGCGCCUGAAACUGCUAGGCUUGAGUACGAGAGAGGAUGACGGAAUUUCCAGUGUAGAGGUGAAAUUCGUAGAUAUUGGGAGGAACACCGGCGGCGAAAGCGGUUCUCUGGAUCGAUACUGACGCUAAGACGCGAAAGCGUGGGGAGCAAACAGG